CGGACGGGGGAGUAAUGUCUGGGAAACGUGCCUGAUGGAGGGGGAUAACUACUGGAAACGGUAGCUAAUACCGCAUAACGUCGCAAGACCAAAGAGGGGGACCUUAGGGCCUCCUGCCAUCGGAUGUGCCCAGAUGGGAUUAGCUAGUAGGUGGGGUAACGGCUCACCUAGGCGACGAUCCCUAGCUGGUCUGAGAGGAUGACCAGCCACACUGGAACUGAGACACGGUCCAG
rnacentral:rRNA from 1 species